AUUUAUCCGACGACGAUUAAGGUACAAUAGGUCGAUGUUCUACACUCAGCUUUUGCUCAUGGAGUUGAUGGACUCAUUUACUUCUAUGCUUCCGGCGGCAACAAGUGUGUGGCGGUGCGCUACGUGCCCCUCAUGCUGCUCGGCUCGGCCCGGACGUGGCUGAACAGCCUACCGGCUAACACGUUGACAUUUUUGAAUUUUAAUAAAAAGAUUAAACUACACGAACAUUUAUAUUACAUCGUAUAAACAUUUGUUUAGAUAUCACAAACAUUAUUUUGAAAUGCGAGAAUAUUCCUUUGAAAUGUCACAUACAUUUUUAAGGGUACAAAAACCUUUUUUAUACUACAUAAUUUUUCACGUUGUAUAAACUUUUUUCAUAAAUUUCACAUACAUUUUUAUGUAACACAGGAACAUUUUUUUCAUGUCGACAACAUUUGUUUUGAAAGGUAUCAAUUUUUUAAAAUUCUGCAGCAACAUUUAUACUAUAUUAUAUUUUUCAAAUUCUGCAACAUUUUUAAAUUACGCCUAUGAUGGCCUAAGUCACUCUGAUAAAACUUUACUUCGAACUACUACUAGUGAACCUCUAAUGUGAAGAUAGCAUUCGCCUACCUAUGGUCGUUUCAGAUGUAAUCAACAUGUGGAAGCUCAUGGUUUUUCCUCUGGUCUUCCCCAAAAUGCUAUCUACUUCUCACAACGCAGAGAUCUCUCAUAGACUCAAAGGAUCAUUCUUCCUUAAUCUCCCUUAGGCUUGGAGGCCAUCUUCUACACCGAACCCUGACACACUACAAAGAUAUCGUAGUGUAAGAGCAUCUACUGGUGCAGUCACCAAAUCUGGCUCCUCAAACACCCGUUGGACUUCUCUGUUGGCUUGUGCGUUGUUUUGUGCCGUUCGUCGGACGUGGUGCACAUUGGCCUUCCUCUCGCUUCGUUUUGCAGGGGCUUCUUUGAGCUUACCGGGCGUCGGCGGCUUCGAGCCUACUCGGCGUCGCCGGCGUUCGGCUCCCCGUUGGUUUAUUGUAGGACCUCAGAAUUGGACUUGUGUUUCACCCAGCUUUGCACGCGUAUUUGGAGUUACGUUGAAUCCGUCGGAUGCAUGAUGGGGGAGGAAAGUGUGAGCGGACAGGUCUCGUAGACAAAAUGUGUACUGAAAACAUGAAAUGUGUGGCAAUGCACGCCCAUUUGAUGCUCUCAAUGGUCUUGGGAUGGUGUUCGAUGUCGUUACUUCAGGAAAUGUUUUGUUGAGUGUUGCCUUUUUGUAUGUCCUUAAUCAUUCGGGUUUAUUCAAGUGAAUUGCAUAACUUGUCGCUUGAAAGAGAUGUAAAGUUGUCAUUGGAUUUCGUUGCUUGAAGCGCA